rnacentral:rRNA from 1 species
AUAAGACUACAGAGUCACAUGACUCAGUAGUAAAAACUCCGGUAGCAUAGGAUGGACCCGCGUCUGAUUAGCUAGUAGGUAAGGUAACGGCUUACCUAGGCAACGAUCAGUAGCCGACCUGAGAGGGUGAUCGGCCACAUUGGGACUGAGACACGGCCCAAACUCUACGGGAGGCAGCAGUGGGGAAUAUUGCACAAUGGGGGAAACCCUGAUGCAGCGACGCCGCGUGAAGGAAGAAGGUUUUCGGAUCGUAAACUUCUAUCAGCAGGGAAGAUAGUGACAGUACCUGACUAAGAAGCCCCGGCUAACUACGUGCCAGCAGCCGCGGUAAUACGUAGGGGGCAAGCGUUAUCCGGAUUUACUGGGUGUAAAGGGUGCGUAGGCGGCGAAGUAAGUCAGAUGUGAAAGCCCGAGGCUCAACCUCGGGACUGCAUUUGAAACUGCUUUGCUAGAGUGCAGGAGAGGAAAGUGGAAUUCCUAGUGUAGCGGUGAAAUGCGUAGAUAUUAGGAGGAACACCAGUGGCGAAGGCGACUUUCUGGACUGUAACUGACGCUGAGGCACGAAAGCGUGGGGAGCGAACAGGAUUAGAUACCUUGGUAGUCCACGCCGUAAACGAUGAAUGCUAGGUGUCGGGGGUCGAACCUCGGUGCCGCACGUAACGCAUUAAGCAUUCCAC